GUAUCUGUUCUUAUCGGUUUAAUAUCUAAUGCGUCCUGCAUACGAGGACUACAUAUUAAAUAGAUUUUUAGAACAGGGAGACGCGUUGACCUGGUAUUACAGUACCUCCAGGAGCGGUGC
rnacentral:snRNA from 1 species